UGGCCAGACUCCUACGGGAGGCAGCAGUGAGGAAUAUUGGUCAAUGGGCGAGAGCCUGAACCAGCCAAGUCGCGUGAAGGAUGACGGCCCUACGGGUUGUAAACUUCUUUUGUCAGGGAGCAAUUGAGUCCACGUGUGGGCUUAGCGAGAAUACCUGAAGAAAAAGCAUCGGCUAACUCCGUGCCAGCAGCCGCGGUAAUACGGAGGAUGCGAGCGUUAUCCGGAUUUAUUGGGUUUAAAGGGUGCGCAGGCGGGCUGUUAAGCCGGCGGUAAAAAUUCAGGGCUCAACCCUGUCGAGCCGUCGGAACUGGCAGCCUUGAGUGGGCGAGAAGUAUGCGGAAUGCGUGGUGUAGCGGUGAAAUGCAUAGAUAUCACGCAGAACGCCGAUUGCGAAGGCAGCAUACCGGCGCCCGACUGACGCUGAGGCACGAAAGCGUGGGUAUCGAACAGGAUUAGAUACCCCAGUAU
rnacentral:rRNA from 1 species